rnacentral:rRNA from 1 species
AUACGGAGGGAGCUAGCGUUGUUCGGAAUUACUGGGCGUAAAGGGCGCGUAGGCGGCCGAUCCAGUCAGGCGUGAAAGCCCCGGGCUCAACCUGGGAAUUGCGUUUGAUACUGAUUGGCUGGAGUCCGGGAGAGGGUAGUGGAAUUCCCAGUGUAGAGGUGAAAUUCGUAGAUAUUGGGAAGAACACCGGUGGCGAAGGCGGCUACCUGGCCCGGUACUGACGCUGAGGCGCGAAAGCGUGGGGAGCAAACAGGAUUAGAAACCCCAGUAGUCC